UACCAAAGCCAAUAGGCAGACA
rnacentral:snRNA from 1 species